UACAGAGGUCCCGAGCGUUGUUCGGAUUCAUUGGGCGUAAAGGGUGCGUAGGUGGCGCCGUAAGUGGGGUGUGAAAUCCCGGGGCUUAACCCCGGGACUGCAUUCCAUACUGCGGUGCUUGAGGACUGGAGAGGAGACUGGAAUUUACGGUGUAGCAGUGAAAUGCGUAGAGAUCGUAAGGAAGACCAGUGGCGAAGGCGGGUCUCUGGACAGUUCCUGACACUGAGGCACGAAGGCCAAGGGAGCAAACGGG
rnacentral:rRNA from 1 species